GAUGAACGCUGGCGGCGUGCCUAAUACAUGCAAGUCGAACGAAACUUCUUUAUCACCGAGUGCUUGCACUCACCGAUAAAGAGUUGAGUGGCGAACGGGUGAGUAACACGUGGGCAACCUGCCCAAAAGAGGGGGAUAACACUUGGAAACAGGUGCUAAUACCGCAUAACCAUAGUUACCGCAUGGUAACUAUGUAAAAGGUGGCUAUACUACCGCUUUUGGAUGGGCCCGCGGCGCAUUAGCUAGUUGGUAGGGUAAAGGCUUACCAAGGCAAUGAUGCGUAGCCGAAUUGAGAGGUUGAUCGGCCACAUUGGGACUGAGACACGGCCCAAACUCCUACGGGAGGCAGCAGUAGGGAAUCUUCCACAAUGGGCGAAAGCCUGAUGGAACAACGCCGCGUGGGUGAAGAAGGUCUUCGGAUCGUAAAACCCUGUUGUUAGAGAAGAAAGUGCGUGAGAGUAACUGUUCACGUUUCGACGGUAUCUAACCAGAAAGCCACGGCUAACUACGUG
rnacentral:rRNA from 1 species